rnacentral:rRNA from 1 species
GACAGAGGGUGCAAACGUUGUUCGGAAUUACUGGGCGUAAAGCGCGUGUAGGCGGCCCUGCAAGUCGGGUGUGAAAUCCCAUGGCUCAACCAUGGAAGUGCACUCGAAACUGCAGGGCUAGAGUCCUGGAGAGGAAGGUGGAAUGCUUGGUGUAGAGGUGAAAUUCGUAGAUAUCAAGCGGAACACCGAUGGCGAAGGCAGCCUCCUGGGCCAAUACUGACGCUCAUGCACGAAAGCGUGGGGAGCAAACAGG